rnacentral:rRNA from 1 species
UACAGAGGUCUCAAGCGUUGUUCGGAUUCAUUGGGCGUAAAGGGUGCGUAGGCGGCGCGGUAAGUCGGAUGUGAAAUCUCGGAGCUUAACUCCGAAACUGCAUUCGAUACUGCCGUGCUUGAGGACUGGAGAGGAGACUGGAAUUUACGGUGUAAGCUGGUGAAAUGCGUAGAUAAUCGUAAGGAAGACCAGUGGCGAAGGCGGGU